GGUGGCCUAAAGCCCAUGUAGAUCCGUCCUGCGCCGGCGUCGUCUGCCGAGCUGAUGCGGUUGCCGUCUCGCCGUCGAGAUGCGCGGCGGUGAACAGCACCAUCCCCACCAGCCACUGCAUGCUUCGCCUCGCCUUCUCAUACGGUGCGGUCGCAGCUGGUGCCGUCGGAUGAGGAGAUCAUCUGAAAAUCUCUCCACCCCGCGCCCUGAGGCACCGCCGGCUCGGAGCCGGUGAUUACGGUGGCAGAUGGAGAGGCCUGCAGGAGCAAUCCAAUCUCGCGCCACCAGUGGCGUAAACCCUUGGCUCCGGACGGCAAGGUCAAGGUGGCGGCGGGCGGCCGGCGGCGAACACGCCUACCGCGGUUGGGGACGAUGACAGGCGUUUCGUAUUAUUAUUAUGCCCUUUAUCAAUAAACUGAUCGGUGGUUUGGGCUGCAAGGUCCGUGCUCUGUACUAGUCUCUACGCCGAUGAGGCUCAUGUUCAGGCUAAUUUAUUGGUUCUCCACCA